rnacentral:rRNA from 1 species
UACGAAGGGGGCUAGCGUUGCUCGGAAUCACUGGGCGUAAAGGGUGCGUAGGCGGGUCUUAAGUCAGGGGUGAAAUCCUGGAGCUCAACUCCAGAACUGCCUUUGAUACUGAGGAUCUUGAGUUCGGGAGAGGUGAGUGGAACUGCGAGUGUAGAGGUGAAAUUCGUAGAUAUUCGGAAGAACACCAGUGGCGAAGGCGACUUACUGGACACAUAUUGACGCUGAGGUGCGAAAGCGUGGGGAGCAAACAGG